rnacentral:tRNA from 1 species
GGAGAGGUGCCAGAGUGGUCGAUCGGGGCGGUCUCGAAAACCGUUGUACCGGGUGACCGGUACCGUGGGUUCGAAUCCCACCCUCUCCGCCA